UACGGGGGGGGUAAGCGUUGUUCGGAAUCACUGGGCGUAAAGGGUGCGUAGGCCGCACGGUAAGUCAGAGGUGAAAUCCCGGAGCUCAACUCCGGAAUGGCCUCCGAUACUGCCGUGCUCGAGGACUGGAGAGGAGUCUGGAAUUCACAGUGGAGCAGUGAAAUGCGUGGAUAUUGUGAGGAACACUAGUGGCGAAGGCGAGACUCUGGACAGUUCCUGACGCUGAGGCACGAAGGCCAGGGGAGCAAACGGG
rnacentral:rRNA from 1 species